AGAGUUUGAUCCUGGCUCAGGAUGAACGCUAGCUACAGGCUUAACACAUGCAAGUCGUGGGGCAGCGGAUACUUAGCUUGCUAAGUAUGCCGGCGACCGGCGCACGGGUGAGUAACGCGUACCGAACCUGCCCAUCACACAGGGAUAGGCUUGCGAAAGCAAGAUUAAUACCUGAUGGUCUCAGUUGUAUGCAUGUAUGAUUGAGUAAAGCCUUCGGGCGGUGAUGGAUGGCGGUGCGUCCCAUUAGGAAGUUGGCGGGGUAACGGCCCACCAAUCCUUCGAUGGGUAGGGGUUCUGAGAGGAAGGUCCCCCACAUUGGAACUGAGAUACGGUCCAAACUCCUACGGGAGGCAGCAGUGAGGAAUAUUGGUCAAUGGGCGAGAGCCUGAACCAGCCAAGUAGCGUGCGGGAUGAAGGCCCUUGUGGUCGUAAACCGCUUUUAUCAGUGAAUAAAGUGCACCACGUGUGGUGUCAUUGCAGGUAGCUGAAGAAAAAGGACCGGCUAAUUCCGUGCCAGCAGCCGCGGUAAUACGGAAGGUCCGGGCGUUAUCCGGAAUUAUUGGGUUUAAAGGGAGCGCAGGCGGGAGUAUAAGUCAGCUGUUAAAUAUCAGAGCCCAACUCUGUUAUGCAGUUGAAACUAUAUUUCUUGAGUACGCACAGGGAUGGCGGAAUUCAGGGUGUAGCGGUGAAAUGCUUAGAUAUCCUGAAGAACUCCGAUCGCGAAGGCAGCCAUCCGGAGCGUAACUGACGCUGAGGCUCGAAGGUGCGGGUAUCGAACAGGAUUAGAUACCCUGGUAGCAACGGUGAAACUCAAAGGAAUUGACGGGGGCCCGCACAAGCGGAGGAACAUGUGGUUUAAUUCGAUGAUACGCGAGGAACCUUACCCGGGCUUGAACCAAGAGUGACGAGUGCAGAGAUGCACUUUUUCUUCGGACACUUUUGGAGGUGCUGCAUGGUUGUCGUCAGCUCGUGCCGUGAGGUGUCGGCUUAAGUGCCAUAACGAGCGCAACCCUUUUCUACGUUUGCCAUCGGGUAAUGCCGGGAACUCCGUGGAUACUGCCGCCGCAAGGCGGAGGAAGGUGGGGAUGACGUCAAAUCAGCACGGCCCUUACGUCCGGGGCUACACACGUGUUACAAUGGUCGGAGCAGCAGGAAGCUACCUGGCGACAGGAUGCUGAUCCCAAAACCCGGCCUCAGUUCGGACUGGAGUCUGCAACCCGACUCCACGAAGCCGGAUUCGCUAGUAAUCGCGCAUCAGCCAUGGCGCGGUGAAUACGUUCCCGGGCCUUGUACACACCGCCCGUCAAGCCAUGAAAGCCGGGGGUGCCUGAA
rnacentral:rRNA from 1 species